CAACUACUCACUCCGUCCGAAAAUAUUUGUCAUCAAAAUGGAUUAAAAAAAUGUAUCUAGAACUGAAUUUGUCUAGAUACAUCAUCUUUUAUCCAUUUUGAUGACAAAUAUUUCCAGACGGAGGGAGUAUAAG
rfam:Triticum urartu cultivar G1812 contig1073358, whole genome shotgun sequence.